rnacentral:rRNA from 1 species
GAUGAACGCUAGCUCCAGGCUUAACACAUGCAAGUCGCGGGGCAGCAUGGGGGUUGCUUGCAAUCCCCGAUGGCGACCGGCGCACGGGUGAGUAACGCGUAUCCAACCUGCCCUUCACCACGGGAUAACCCGGCGAAAGUCGGACUAAUACCGUAUGUUGUCCAUUGACGGCAUCCGAUUUGGACGAAAGGCUUGGCGGUGAGGGAUGGGGAUGCGUCCGAUUAGCCAGACGGCGGGGUAACGGCCCACCGUGGCUACGAUCGGUAGGGGUUCUGAGAGGAAGGUCCCCCACACUGGAACUGAGACACGGUCCAGACUCCUACGGGAGGCAGCAGUGAGGAAUAUUGGUCAAUGAGCGUAAGCCUGAACCAGCCAAGUAGCGUGCAGGAUGACGGCCCUAUGGGUUGUAAACUGCUUUUAUGCGGGGAUAAAGUGGCCCACGUGUGGGCUUUUGCAGGUACCGCAUGAAUAAGGACCGGCUAAUUCCGUG